rnacentral:rRNA from 1 species
ACCCGCUGAACUUAAGCAUAUCAAUAAGCGGAGGAAAAGAAACCAACAGGGAUUGCCUUAGUAACGGCGAGUGAAGCGGCAAUAGCUCAAAUUUGAAAUCUGGCGUCUUCGACGUCCGAGUUGUAAUUUGUAGAGGAUGCUUCAGACACGGCGUCGGCCGAAGUUCUUUGGAACAGGACGUCAGAGAGGGUGAGAACCCCGUAUGCGUUCGGCGUGCAGUUGUCUAUGUGAAGCUCCUUCGACGAGUCGAGUUGUUUGGGAAUGCAGCUCUAAAUGGGAGGUAAAUUCCUUCUAAAGCUAAAUACUGGCCAGAGACCGAUAGCGCACAAGUAGAGUGAUCGAAAGAUGAAAAGCACUUUGAAAAGAGAGUUAAAAAGUACGUGAAAUUGUUGAAAGGGAAGCGCUUGCGAUCAGACUCGUCCGUAGGGGUAGCGUUCGCCGUCAGGCGGGCGUAUACGCCUCUACGGCCGGGCCAGCAUCGGUUUGGACGACCGGAUAAAGGCCCUAGGAAUGUAGCCCUCUUCGGAGGGUGUUAUAGCCUAGGGUGCAAUGCGGCCAGUCCGGACCGAGGUCCGCGCUUCGGCUAGGAUGCUGGCGUAAUGGUUGUAAGCGGCCCGUCUUGAAACACGG